CACGAGUUUGAUCCUGGCUCAGAACGAACGCUGGCGGCAUGCCUAACACAUGCAAGUCGAACGAAGCCUUCGGGCUUAGUGGCGCACGGGUGCGUAACGCGUGGGAACCUACCAUCAGGUUCGGAAUAACAGUUAGAAAUGACUGCUAAUACCGGAUAAUGUCUUCGGACCAAAGAUUUAUCGCCUUUUGAUGGGCCCGCGUAAGAUUAGGUAGUUGGUGGGGUAAAGGCCUACCAAGCCGACGAUCUUUAGCUGGUCUGAGAGGAUGAUCAGCCACACUGGGACUGAGACACGGCCCAGACCCCUACGGGAGGCAGCAGUGGGGAAUAUUGGACAAUGGGCGAAAGCCUGAUCCAGCAAUGCCGCGUGAGUGAUGAAGGCCUUAGGGUUGUAAAGCUCUUUUACUGGGGAUGAUAAUGACAGUACCCAGAGAAUAAGCUCCGGCUAACUCCGUG
rnacentral:rRNA from 1 species